GGAGAUUGUUUUACAAGGAAAAAAGGCAGCAGAUGUUGUGGAGUUUCUGAAAUUUUUUCAUCCUAUGAAGAAACAAUCUAUAACAGAGUAGUUGCCCUUUGAAUUGACGUCACAUAUUGUUGUGUCUGCUGCGUUCGUGUAGAAUGGCAUCCAGAUUUGUGCUAAGCACUGCAGAGGAAAAACAGGAAAAGCGAUUAAAAUUGAACAGUAGCAAAACUGUACAGGUAAACAAAGGAGCGGCUUAAGUUUUUAAGGAAUACUUGAAAGUAAAAGGCGAAAAUGAGAACUUUCAAGACUUUGACAACGUGAAAUUAGACGAGAUGCUAGGCCAUUUCUACAUGGAUCUACGUAGAGAAGAUGGGUCACAUUACGAAGUAAAUUCCCUGGAGACAAUUCGCCAUGGCAUAAACAGAUAUUUGAAGUCACCCCCCUUCAACAGAAAAGUGGAUAUAGUGAAGGAUUCCUCGUUUACCGAUAGCAACACUUGUUUUAAGGCUGUUUUAGCCGAAGCCAAAAGAAUAGGGAAGGGAGACGUGGUUCACCAUUCUAUUAUCUCAGACACCGACUUGAAAUCAUUGUAUACAAGUAUGCAUCUGUCUAUCAAUACACCACAGGGUCUCUUCAGUAAAGUGCAGUUUGACAUCCGAAUGUUUUUCUGCAGGCGGGGGAAUAAAAACAUGCAUAACAUGACCAAAAUUAUGUUCCGAGUUGAAACUGACGAGGACACUGGUCGAAAAGUCGUGAAAAAAGUCGUUGAUGAAUUAACUAAAAACCAUCGUUUGGACAAAGAAACUUCUUCUGGAAUUAUGCCAGAAAUUAAAGGAUCAAUCUACUGUCCAGUUUUGUCCUUCGGGAUGUACUAAUCAAAGCUCCAUCCAGAAUGUGACAGGCUAUGGCAGCGACCAAAAGAGAGUUUUCUCGAAUCUGAUGCAGUGUGGUUUUGUAAUGUCCCUGUUGGUGAAAAGAAAUUGAGGAGUUUUCUCAGCUCCUUGAGCAAGGCUAUUAACUUGUCAAAAGUAUAUACAAACCAUUCCAUAAGAGCAACUGGAGCAUCCAUUCUGUCCAAGUGUAUGUAUGGACCCUCACAAGUAAUGUCUGUCACUGGACACAAGUCCGUACAAUGCCUGGGUGUCUAUCAGCAAGUUAGUGAUGCAGAAAAAAUUCUGUCUAUCAGCGAAAAUCUUGCACCAACAUCCAGCUUGCCAAUGUUACCAAGUACCAAGAGGCUUGCUAUUAUGGCUAAUUCAUCAUCUUCAUCAACGGUUUGUGAAAAUCAAAUAGUGGAAUGCGAUCUUAGCGGGUGGCAAAUUGAUCAACUUUUCGCAGAUUUUGAAACGCAGAGUCCAGUUGAAGAGAAACGACCAUUCAGACCAAUAUGCUUCAGUAACUGCACCGUGAAUAUCGGUAACAUCAACGUUAACACAAAAUAGUUCAGAUAAAAAAAUGCAGAGAUUGGAGUGGUUUUAAUUGUUUAUUAUUAAAUGUUUAAAAUAUUUUAUUGUUGAAAAACUGUUUGUUACUGAUAUAAAGAUUGUUGAACUUUAUUUACUGUUGAAAAAAUAAAAAUGUGUGGAAUUUAAUUAUGUGAUCAACACUUCUUGCGAGUAAAUGUAUCACUAGAUAGUCCUUGGGAAAACAAAACACUUAUUAGGUUAGUUACUGACACACUACGGAAAUAUAUUGGGUUGAUCAAUAUCAUAGAUGGUUCGGCUU